UUUAUUGACUAAAAUAAAGUGGGAGAAGAACACCGUUCUCUUUGUUCACACAUCAAUCAAGUCGUCUUAAUUGUCGUCUACACAAUAUAUAAACAGUAUAUAGUAUAAUAUUCGUGAAAAGAAAAUAAGAAUCAAACUAUACGUCAAAAAUAUAUGAGGAAUAUUUUGCUACUAUAUAAAACAAUUGGUUCACUGUUAUAUUACUAGAUAGAGACGUAGUUAAAUGCGUUCGGCAAUCUCAUUUUUUUUUGUCAACGUUCGGCAAUGUCUUUAAACAUAAUACUAGAUUCUAACGGCGGGUAUAUGUUUUGUUUUAUAUUUUUUAGAAGUUUAAUUUUAAUAUUUAUGUUUUCUUUUGUAAUAAUCAUAUUUAUGUUUUUCUUUAUAAUAAUAUUUGUGUAAAAUAUUUUUUAAAUUAUCCGUAAGAGGUUUUGACAAUUGCAUUAAAUUUGUGAUGUUGCAUUACUAUACACUUGUGCCAUAGCUUUUUUUUUUUUUUGACAGCAAACAAUUCACAGACUCAUAUUGACUCUGUAAACCAAAUUGGAAACUCUGCAUCCAUGUGUACGACGAAAGACGGUUGAUGCCGGGCACUGCGUGCUAAGCUAUCCGCCUUUUGAUUCGCCGUUCUUGGUACAUGAACGAUUUCUGAGUUGUGGAAGCUUCUUCUCAAAAACUUGAUGUCUUCCAGAUAGGUUCCAAAUGCAGGCCAUUCCUCGGAUUCCGAAACCAUCUUCACCAACUGAGAACAAUCUGUUGCAAACGUAACCUGAAAUGUCGUAAAUUCCUCAUGCAUUCAAUUGCCCAUAUCAAUGCCUCCACCUCCGAGUGAAGAGGUGAUAGACAUGCACAUACAUUUCGUGCCCCUAACAAACCAUCAAAGCCUGGUAAAGUACUAAACCAUCCUUGCCCUGAGAACUCAGCCUUAUCUUUCCAGGAUCCGUCAGUACUUGUGUCAUAGCUAUUUCAAACAUUAACCUUAUACUUUAUUUCUAAACAGUUAUUAAUUUUUAAAUAACAAAGUAUAGUUAUAAUUUUAUUUAGUAAUCAAAUAAUAAUCUAGAUUUAGACCCGCGCUUUAAAAACGCGGAUAUGUGUUGACUGAUUAUUUUUACAAAAUUUGAAUAGUGUUAAUUAUUCUUAUAGGACACACAUGAUUAUUUGAAACAUUAAAAUUUUACAGUUUUGCAAAAUCAGGACAUGGAUUUUUUUACAAUUUUUUUAUGUUUUUUAAAUAUGCUAAAUAUUUUUGGUAAUGAUAAAUUUUGUACAUGUGGAAGACUUUAUAUUUUGCUAAACAGGUUAAAUAUGAUAACAUAUCUUGUAUAUCAUUUUUGUAUGAACAUAAAAAGUCGAUAGUUUUUGUGCAUAAAAAAUAAAUUUGAACACAAUGAUAUAAAACAAUAGCAGUGUUUUGAAAACUGAACCAGCCGAGGCCGAACCGGCCGGACCGUAACUCGCACUUCUAACAGGUUCCGGAUUAUGCUAGAAUCGGAUUUGAGUUAAACCGACAAAUCUGGUAAAAAACGGUUAAAAACCAUGAAAAUUUGCUAAAACCGAUUAUCCGGUUUGAUAUUUAAACAUGGUUUUAUGAAAUUCAAGUAAAAAAGAUACAUUUUUUUUAAAAAAAAUCAUAAAAAUAAUAUUAUUUUAAUAUCUAUAUAAAUAUAUUAGUUUUCAUUACAUUAAUAUAUUGUUUUAAAAAUUUUCAUUUUAUUUUCAUAUAGUUUUUAGAUUCUGAAAAAAAAAAUAUAAUAAUAAUUUUAUAUAUACACAUAUAUGUGUAUAUAUAUAUAAUUACUUAAUUUAAAAUUAAAUUAAAAUUUGAAACUUGAUUGGACCGGUCUGACCAUUGACCCGAUGCCAAUGCCCGGUUCUGUUUUCAAAACAUUGAGCAAUAGAUAAUUACUUUUCGAUAUUAAAUAUUUGAAUAAAAUUUUUUUACACAUCUAUUUGAUUAAUUUAAAACCUAGAUAAACAUAAGUUUUAAAACUGGUAUUACAUAUGAUGCGUUGCAGUUCAUGUACUAAUGAUUUACCUUGGCUUAGUGCAUAGAGAUGAUUUCAUUUUUACAGCAUGUCACGUGUUCGAUCGAAUUACAACACUUUUUGUGUUUUAAAAAAAAAAUAAUUUCUUUUAUGAAUGGCACUAUUGUAAAUAUAUCUUCAUCUUUCUUAUGAUAACUUUUAGGUUUCUGCAAAAACAUUUCCAUGGCCGUCAUAAAAAAAUUAUCAUUAUAGGCUGCAAUAUUGCGGUUUUCUUUUAGAUCCUUCAUCAACUUUGCAGAUCUGGUAUAUAAAUUCCAUUCCAAACAUUCAAAACCCAGGAAUAUGGAUUAUUUUUACAAAACCAAUUUAUUAACCGAAUUUGGCAAAAUCGCCACGGUAACUCUCCGCCGAGCGCUCCAUCACCGAGCAAUUGAUCACCACGCCCGCGUUUCUGAACCUAAAAAUAUGUCUGUUUUUGUGAUUAAACCUACGGAAAUUUGUGUUUGUAUCAUACUUACACAAAUUGUUAGUUAUAUGAAAUUGUACGAUUUGAAAUUAAUGUUGUCGACAGUUUGAGAGAGAGAGAGAGAGAGAAGUGAGUCCGGCAUAUUUUGCUAAUUGAAUUAGUGGUUACAAUAUUUGUAUAAAACUCAUAAAAGUCAGUUAUAAUUGAUAUUUAGAAGAUGGUUAUAAAAUAUAUUGGACACAACCUUUAUCAACUAGUCAUACUGCUGUUUUAAUAGAAUAGUUUCUGCACAAUUUUAAGACGGUUAUUAUUGUUUUUCUUCUAAGGAACCUGUUGUUGUUUGCAUUAAUUUAAAAAUUUAUGGGUUAUUUAAACUGACGUUAUGUAAAUCUUGCUUUCAGUCAUACACGAAAAUUUUAUAAUUUCUGUUCAGACUUCCAAGUCACCUAAUCAGAACAAACUAUAUAUUUAUUACUCGUGGAAAACUACAACAAGUGUUUUAUUUGGUUGUGAUUUUGAGAGUUACACAUCAUCUAUCUCUCUUUUUUCUUUCUUCUUUUUUUGACAUCAAACAUACCGUUUUGAUAUGAUACUAUAUAUACCGUUUAUAUGCUGACAAAAAAUAUAGUAUAUAUAUACCGUUUAUAUAUUGUGAAAUAAAAUGCAGAAAUAUAAACUUCAAAUAACUUUUAUAUAAAGACAAGCUAGCUUAUAGUUGACCGUUCGUUUAUUGUCCAUGAUUAUGUUUCUAAUUCAAAGUAAAAUCAAAACAAAAGUUACUAAAUAAUACUCAUCGUUUUAUUUUAUUCACUAAAAGUGUCGUUCUAUAUUUCCAAUGUAUAUUUUAAAUAAAAUUUUCGUUUUUACUUUUAUUUUUAAUUAAUUAAUUGAUAAAACCAAACAAAAAAUAUAUUAAAUAUGGAUAAAACAAAAAAAUUAACAAUUUUAUUAAUUCGUGUGCAAAAACCUUAUACGAACAGAUGACAUAUAAUCUUGUUGGUUUUAAAUUGUACAUGGUCGAUUAGAUUGUACCAACUCGGUUUAUUAGGAUUUUUGGCUUCUUUAUCUUUUUAGAUUUUUUUAUUUUUAUUUUCUCGCUUGCAAUAUAAACAAAAAAAAAAUCAAAUAUGAAGAACUUUUAUAAAAGAAAAUCAUGCUGGUUCUCGUAUAGUGAUCAUAAAAAUAAAAUUUAAAUUUAUCACCAUAUCCAUGACCAGAAUAUUAACCAAAAGGAACUAUUACAAAUUUAUUUCCUCGUCUAUCAACUAUGAAUCCAACAAUUAGGCUUGGGCAUUCGGGUCUUCGGAUUGGGUUCUGGUCGGUUCCUAUCGGAUGAAGAUCUUUUGAGUCCUAAACAUUUGGAUCCAACUAGAUAUUUAGAAAUUUUUUGUUUGGGUUAAGAUCGGUUCCUGUCGGAUCCGAAUCGGUUCAGAUAUAUAAUUUAUACACCCACAAAAUACCCAUAAUUUUUUGGAUAUAUUUCGGGUUUUCAGGUCGGUUCGGGUAGUUAGGACCCGAAAUACCCAAAAACCAGAAAAUACCCGAAAGAAACAUACUAAAACCCGAAAAAUAUCCGAGUUUUUACCCGAAGUCUAACCCAAAAAUAAAAAAGAUAUCCACAAUUUUAUUCAAAUAUCCGAACUAUAUUUCUGAAAAUCUAAAAUUUUACCUGAAACCCAAAACUAUAACCAAAAAGCUGAACCCAAAACUUAAAAAAAACAUCCAUGAUACCAAAAAUAUACCUGAAGACCCAAAUAUACUAUAAAUUUUAGGUAUUUCGGGUAUCUGAUCGAGUCUCAGAUAAUACCCAGACCCGAACCGAGAUCCGCGUAUCCAAAAUAAUUAUACCCAAUAGGUACUUUGGCCUAGAUCCGGAUCCGGAGCCGAACCUGGACCCGAACAUGUAUUUUCGAGUCGGUUUCAGUUUAGAUUUUCGGAUCCGCGUAAAAUGCCCAAGCCUACAACAAUAUAUGAGAAGUUAUAAGUAACCAUGGCUAAUUAAAAUUCGGGUUUGAAGUGAUUUGUUGGGUUCACGCACCUUUUAUGAGCAUCUCAAAAUGCAAUUUUUUUUACAGAAGAAACACUUUCAAAAUCAUAUGGUCACCUUGAAAUUUAACUCUAAGAAAAUUUAUAAUUUAUUUCUUCAUCUUCAAUUUUUUAAAUAAUAAACUAUUAAAGCUUCUAUAAACAAAUAAAACAUAAUAUUUUAAAGAUAUUAAAAUAAGAUUUAUGAAAAUAUAAUAAUUAGUAAUCAAAUAUAACUAUAAAUAGUAUAAAAUAUAUGAUUUUUUUUAAAUAUAACAAUACUAACUAAAAUAUAAUAUAUAAAGUUAUUUAUGAGAUUGUAAAAUACAUAAAUUAUAAUGGUUAAAGUAAAAGUAAACAGUUUUUGGGUUUCUACUAUUCACCCACUCAAAAUUUGAAGAGAGAAUUGUCUAGCAAAAUCCCUAAAAUGAGAGGGUAACGGCUGUUAAAUAUGCUAUAAGCCAAUAAUUCUUUUGUGAAGCUAAUACAAUAGUUUUAUGGUUGCUUAUGUAGCAGUUAUUCACUAUCUUUGUAAUACUUUCUAUGUUACAUCAUGAAUGUCAUUUUGACACAUUUCUUUGUUAUUAAAAAUGUCAUUAAUUUUUUAAUGCAGAUUAUAUUUACUCUAAGUUAAUUAUUAAUUGAAAAUGAAUUAAUAUUAUAAAUAAUUUUAUUUAUUUCAAACAUUAUUGAUUAAAUAUCUGUAAUAAAUAAAAAAUAAAAAUAUAUCAUUUUGUUAAUACAUGUAAAAAUAUUUAAAUGGCAUUUUCAUAAGAUGUAGUGAAUAAUGAUUUAUGGAGUAUUUUGACAAAGUAUGAUAAUGUAUUUUUUUUGAAAAAUGGAGUAAAAGGGAUAAUGUAUUUUAGUAAAUUAUAAAAAAUCAUAUUUUUUGGCUACCUAGUUUCUUGGCAUUUGAAAAGCAUAACGAGGAAAAUUGAGGUAUUUUGUUCAGUUCCGCCUUUGAAUUUUGGUUUUAUUUGCCAAAAAAAAGAUCCCUAAAGAAAGGAUAGAAAGAAAUAUGAAGAAAAAGUACGACAGAGGAGGUGAUUUUGGGUAAUUAUUGAAUUUGUGUUUUUUUUUGUUAUUUGGCCUUUCCCUUUAAUUUUCUGUGUUUUCGUUCUGACAUCAUCUAUUAAAUUCUUAAAUUAAUUUACUGGUUUUAGUGUUUAAUAUGUGAAUGAGGAGGGUUCAUAGAAAUAUCCCAUGAAACAGAGGGCGACUUUAGAAAAUGACGAGUCAACGAAAAGAAAAGAUAAUGAAGUGGCUGGUUCGCUUUUAAUAAUCUCCAUUAAACUAUUCUAUCAUUUCCUAUAUUGUCACGUUCUUGCUAUUCGGUCAAGUGGUUUCUUCCAUUGACUUUUCUUUCUUAGUCGUUGUUGUGUUUGAUUGAUUUGGCCUUUGUUUUACGGCUGUAAUGGCUCGAAUAGAUCAUUGAUGAUAUUUUUAUUAUAAUUUAGUUCGGUAUAAAACAUUUCAAGCAAUGAAGAAAAGGUUUACGAGAAAAACUAUAUUUGGUCUUGAUCAUUGAUCAACAUAGAUAAAUGUAUUAACUAUUAAGCUACAACCAUUAGAUUUUGGAAUUUUGGGGGCUGAAUUCAGAACUAAUCAAGCGUUUAACAUUAGCCAUAAGAGCUUUACACGAAUCUAUGACGUGUAAAUAGUGGAUGACUUGUCUUUUAAUUUAACACCCACUCAUCAAACCAUUAUGAACUUUUCUACUAAAAAUUACAGUGACUUUUCUUUUGAUACUUUUUUUUGCUGUUGGUAAAUUAAUCUCAGUUACUUGAUUCAAUACUUGUAUAUUUUGUCAAUAGACCACAUUAACAAAAGGUCUGCAUAGUUUCUAUUGAAAAUGAACAUUAAAUUAACACCAACGCAAUUAGGGAUUCGAUCUAAACGCAUAUCUACAUAUUAUUAUUAUGUCUAUUAUAGGAGAAGUUAUCUUACCCCUACGCAUGUGAGCAUUUAUGAAUUAUAUGGCAGGAACAUGUUCUACAUGUAUUUAUCCAUUGAAUUUUAUCCGUUGCUUUCACAGUUCAUAUAGCGGUGAGCACGAGAACUCAACAUUACUCAAUUUGCUCUUUUAACUUUCUUAAUCAUAGAAAACUAGUUAACCUCAAGCAUUAAUUGAAAGUGCAAAAACUAACCACGACAAAACCGAACACAAUAGAAACAUAAGAAAAUUCUCUACAAAUAAUAUAUUUUAUAGUUAACUAGGGCGUGAUUAGCUUGAGGGCAAAAACCCAAUACGUUAAAGCCACCAAGGUUCGAUUCUCGGCCACUGAAGAAUUAAUAUUCGGCAUCGCCAAGGAUAUGAGAUCGACACGUGGCAAUACGUGACUAGUCUGGACCACUUCUGUAAGACCAUGAUACCCAUGUAUAAUUCAAUAAAUAAAUAUAUAUAUAUAUAUAUAUAUAUAUAUAUAUAUAUAUAUAUAUUUACAAGUGAAUUUACAAGUUUCACGAAAAACAAUAUUUUAGUAGCUCAAAAACGCUCUUGAUCUAUUGAUCUAGCAUUAAAUGUUCAAGGAUUUAUACACAAUCCAAAACCAUUUCAAUGAAACCUUUUUAGUUGAUAGGCAAUCCAAAAACAUUUCAGUGAAACCUUUUUAGCUGUUUUGCUUACUUACAAUAAGCCUAAAACCUUUUUCUCUAAAGUUCUAUUUCAUUUGUGUUAAAUACAUCACUACAAGAAAUAAUCGUUUUCAUAGCACUAGAGUAUAGCGUUUUUUGUCUUUCUGCUAUGGUUGAUAUACCCCUUAAUUUUAGAUAGCGUUUGUAUAUUUGGAAACGCUAUGGUAGAAUGGUAUAUUCGGAAUAUAAUGAAAUGCUAUAUUUAACUUUUUGAAUCCCCAAAUCCUAAACAAGUUUUUAAUCCCUAAACUAUAAACACACAACUUAAAACUCUAAUAUUCUCAUACUAUAACUUUAGAUCUUAAACAUAAACUCGAAAUUUACUCUUUAAUAUUAAUAUAUAACUUUCAAAACACAAAGCCUUAAAUCUCCAAUCAAACUCUAACAAUAUAAUCCCUAAACCACAUACUUUGACAUAUAUCAUAAGAACAUUAAACCUAAAACUUUAAAUAAAAUAUAAUUUUUAUAAUAUAUAUCUCCGAUUAUGUAUAAUAUUUCAAAUUUACAUUAUACAAUUCAAAAAUAAAAAUAGAACCAUUAAAUAAAAAACAACACAAAAAGAUAAUUAUAGAUAAAUGAACAGAUAAUUCUUAUUAGUUUUGUUUUCGGCCUUUGAUUAGUUUUGAUCCAAAGGCUAAAAAUCACUCUUUUAUGAUCUUCCUCCUUCGUUCUUAUUGGUCCAUUCGUCAAAAUUUGGAUUAAUAUUUCUGACCAUUGAUUAUUUGUAAUCCAAUGGCUAAGAAUUCAUCUUUUCAUUUUCCUUCUUCUAGACUCUAUCGAUCUCUUCCUCUCUGUAUCAUUCCCUUCAUCUCCCUCACUGUCUCAAACACACACACACACAAUUCAUGUAACACACAUCUCCUUUCUCUGUAACACUCUCCUCACACACACACGAGUCUGAAGGUGGAGUCGAACCCAUCGACCGCGGAUCUGAAGAUGCUUGACCACCGCCAUCUCCCCCUUUCGCUACCGUCUCUCUCACCACCACUGAUGUGGUAGUCAUUGGGUUUGCGGCUAGGAGGCGAUGGAGAAGCUGGUGGUCGUGAGGAGAGGUGGUGGUCAUGGGGCUUGCGGCGAGGAGGCGACGGAGAAGCGGGUGGUCGGAGCAGAGUGGUGGUCAUGGGGUUUGCAGCGAGGAGGCGACGGAGAAGUUGGUGGCCGUGAGAAGAGGUUGUGGUCAUGGGGCUUGCGGCGAGGAACGGAGAAGUUCGUGAGGAGGCUGGCUCAAGAAGAUUAGGUUUUGAUUAGGUUUAAUUAAAAUUAGGUUAGAUUAGAUUUAAUUUUUAAAACAUUUGGUUUAGUGUUAAGUGUAAACCGAUUCUUAUCUUCUAUCAAAUGUAAUUUAUAAUGUUUAAUAAAAAAAUAAUUUAUUAUGUGUUUAA